UGGAGUGAGUUGACACCAAUAACUGAAGGAAAAUGUGGUGGUUUUGUAUAUGCAUUUUUAAAAAAUUUACAGCAGAAUAUAUAUAGAUUAAAUAAUUUAAUCUACAAUGCAUGCAUAGAUCAAAUCUAAAACAACCAUAUAAGAUCUAUGACAUGAACUAAUAUACAUGUAUGUAAAUCUGAAAUCUAAAAUUCAGUAAGUA
rnacentral:lncRNA from 1 species